UACGUAGGUGGCAAGCGUUGUCCGGAUUUACUGGGCGUAAAGAGCGCGCAGGCGGUCGUUCAAGUCGCGUGUGAAAGCCCCCGGCUCAACUGGGGAGGGUCACGCGAUACUGAUCGACUCGAAGGCAGGAGAGGGAAGUGGAAUUCCCGGUGUAGUGGUGAAAUGCGUAGAUAUCGGGAGGAACACCGAUAGCGAAGGCAGCUCGCUGGGACGGUACUGACGCUGAGGCGCGAAAGCGUGGGGAGCGAACAGG
rnacentral:rRNA from 1 species